UAACCUGCCCAAGAGAUCGGGAUAACACCUGGAAACAGAUGCUAAUACCGGAUAACAACAGAUGAUGCCUAUCAACUGUUUAAAAGAUGGUUCUGCUAUCACUCUUGGAUGGACCUGCGGUGCAUUAGCUAGUUGGUAGGGUAACGGCCUACCAAGGCGAUGAUGCAUAGCCGAGUUGAGAGACUGAUCGGCCACAUUGGGACUGAGGCACGGCCCAAACUCCUACGGGAGGCAGCAGUC
rnacentral:rRNA from 1 species